AGGGCGUGUUUCCUUGGGAAGAACGGACAUGGGGAAAGAAAAGUUGAGGAGCGAGACAAACAGGGCGCCUGAGCUUGCAGGGCCAGUCCGGGAGUACCGAGAGAAAGAGAAAGCUGGGGUGACUGCUGGGAAAUCGGCUCCCAGAGCCCCGGCAGGUGCUCGCCGCCGCCGCAGGAGGACAGAAGGACAGAAGACGUAGACUGCAAGCUAGGGCUCUCGGGGGGCUGGGGCUGGAGAGAGGACCUGGGAAGUGGGAGGGUGAGAGUGACAGCAGAAACCAGAGUGACUAGGUAGAUUCCAGGACAGACCGAGAAGCCGAGGUGCAGAGUGAGAGUUGGAGGGACAGAGAAGGCCCGGGUGCCGGGCAGGCAGGGAGUUCGUUAUAGGCUAUGUGGGGGUGCAGGCCAGGCAGGGGAAGGUGGCCAGCUGUCUGGAAGGCAGGGACAGCGCACAGGGGCGUCAGGAGCUCUCGGAGGCAAGCGUGGUGGGGUGGCUGGGUGCAGAGUGAGGGGAGAAGACACCAUCGCCCCGGAACAGUUUUCCGGCCAGGGCCAGGGCCGCUGCUGGACAGUGUGGGGGUCAACGGGAGGCAUCACCGCUGCCGUCAGUCAGAUACAUCGACAGUUGGCAUGAUGUUUGGUAAUUGACUGACACAACUCCACGUGGGUUUCUGACACCAUCAUCCUGCCCGAGAGCCUGAGGGGGAGACAAAGAUGCUCCUGUGACCAGGAGGGGCGUGGACAGUGCCAAGUAUCCUCACCCAAGCGCAGCAAUGGACUAAGUGUGUGUGAAGCCAGGGGAGCACUUUGAAGGCGCUUGAUAGCAAAGUGUCUUUUUGUAUAAUUGUUUUUUGGGAAAAAAAUCCUAGUAAACAUUCACUGUAAAUUUUUGAUACCGGGGAAUGAAACUCCCAA